rnacentral:rRNA from 1 species
GAUGAACGCUGGCGGCGUGCUUAACACAUGCAAGUCGAACGGAAAGGCGCUGCUCUUGUUGGGUGCUCGAGUGGCGAACGGGUGAGUAACACGUGAGUAACCUGCCCUUGACUUUGGGAUAACUUCAGGAAACUGGGGCGAAUAUAGGAUAGGAGCUCCUGCUGCAUGGUGUUGGUUGGUAAGUUUCGGCGUUGGUAGAUGAACUCGCGGCUUAUCAGCUUGUUAGUGUGGUAGUGGCUUACCAGGGCUUUGACGGGUAGCCGGCCUGAGAGAGUGACCGGCCACAAGGGGACUGAGGGACGGCGCAGAAGGGAACGGGAGGCAGCAGGGGGGAACCUGGCGGAGCGGCCGGAAGCCUGAUACAGCAAUGCCGGGUGCGGGAAGACGGGUUAUGGGUGAUAAACAGAUGUGGAAGGAGACGAAGCGUGAGUGACGGUAACGGGUCAAGAAGCAACGGCUAACUACGUG